rnacentral:lncRNA from 1 species
AGGCCAACAGUGCCAUCAGCCGCCUCCUGCUACUGCUGUAGUACGGGGAGAGGGCACAGCAAUGGGAGCUGUGAAAGGGCACAACUGGGUGCUGCCUGACAAACCGUGGCCCAUCUCACACGGGGAGCAGCAGUCUUCUACCUUGAUGUGGAUUCCGAAAGCAGCCAGGUCCCCACGCAGGCUGUCACAGGCCUCCAGGAGGGGUUUUCUCUCCUGCAUCAGCUGCCGUCUCUUCUCUUUCUGUUCUUGUUUUGGUCCUUUUGCUCCCACGGCACCUUCCUCCAUUUGCACAGCCUCUGUGGCUUCCGGCAGCACAAGAGCGUAGUUACGGACCUUUGUGCGGAAGCUCACAAGCUCAUCCAUCACAUUUGAGAGCAGAGCUGUAUUUCCUCCACCCACUGCAACCUGCCUUUCUUCCAAAGACAUCCCGAGGGCAU